GAGCCAUGAAGGACCGCUGGCCUGCCCUGUUUAACUGUUCCCAGAGAAUCACUACUGUGCCUCCGGAGCCCAGAUUUAUGGCUGCUUUGGACCUUCACACACCCAAGUUACUCAAGCUGUUUCUUGCCAAAGGUGGAGCACUUGGACAAAGACCGCAAAUCAUAAUGGAACUAAUGGAGGAUUCUUCACACUCUUCUGUUGAGAGGACCAGAGAUGUUGACCUUUGGUGCCUGAUAGAAUACCUUGGUGAAAAUGGAGAACAUCUG